GAAGGUGUGCUGUGAGGCAUGCUGGAGGUAUCAGAAGUGCGAAUGCUGACAUAAGUAACGAUAAAGCGGGUGAAAAGCCCGCUCGCCGGAAGACCAAGGGUUCCUGUCCAACGUUAAUCGGGGCAGGGUGAGUCGACCCCUAAGGCGAGGCCGAAAGGCGUAGUCGAUGGGAAACAGGUUAAUAUUCCUGUACUUGGUGUUACUGCGAAGGGGGGACGGAGAAGGCUAUGUUGGCCGGGCGACGGUUGUCCCGGUUUAAGCGUGUAGGCUGGUUUUCCAGGCAAAUCCGGAAAAUCAAGGCUGAGGCGUGAUGACGAGGCACUACGGUGCUGAAGCAACAAAUGCCCUGCUUCCAGGAAAAGCCUCUAAGCAUCAGGUAACAUCAAAUCGUACCCCAAACCGACACAGGUGGUCAGGUAGAGAAUACCAAGGCGCUUGAGAGAACUCGGGUGAAGGAACUAGGCAAAAUGGUGCCGUAACUUCGGGAGAAGGCACGCUGAUAUGUAGGUGAAGCGACUUGCUCGUGGAGCUGAAAUCAGUCGAAGAUACCAGCUGGCUGCAACUGUUUAUUAAAAACACAGCACUGUGCAAACACGAAAGUGGACGUAUACGGUGUGACGCCUGCCCGGUGCCGGAAGGUUAAUUGAUGGGGUCAGCGCAAGCGAAGCUCUUGAUCGAAGCCCCGGUAAACGGCGGCCGUAACUAUAACGGUCCUAAGGUAGCGAAAUUCCUUGUCGGGUAAGUUCCGACCUGCACGAAUGGCGUAAUGAUGGCCAGGCUGUCUCCACCCGAGACUCAGUGAAAUUGAACUCGCUGUGAAGAUGCAGUGUACCCGCGGCAAGACGGAAAGACCCCGUGAACCUUUACUAUAGCUUGACACUGAACAUUGAGCCUUGAUGUGUAGGAUAGGUGGGAGGCUUUGAAGUGUGGACGCCAGUCUGCAUGGAGCCGACCUUGAAAUACCACCCUUUAAUGUUUGAUGUUCUAACGUUGACCCGUAAUCCGGGUUGCGGACAGUGUCUGGUGGGUAGUUUGACUGGGGCGGUCUCCUCCUAAAGAGUAACGGAGGAGCACGAAGGUUGGCUAAUCCUGGUCGGACAUCAGGAGGUUAGUGCAAUGGCAUAAGCCAGCUUGACUGCGAGCGUGACGGCGCGAGCAGGUGCGAAAGCAGGUCAUAGUGAUCCGGUGGUUCUGAAUGGAAGGGCCAUCGCUCAACGGAUAAAAGGUACUCCGGGGAUAACAGGCUGAUACCGCCCAAGAGUUCAUAUCGACGGCGGUGUUUGGCACCUCGAUGUCGGCUCAUCACAUCCUGGGGCUGAAGUAGGUCCCAAGGGUAUGGCUGUUCGCCAUUUAAAGUGGUACGCGAGCUGGGUUUAGAACGUCGUGAGACAGUUCGGUCCCUAUCUGCCGUGGGCGCUGGAGAACUGAGGGGGGCUGCUCCUAGUACGAGAGGACCGGAGUGGACGCAUCACUGGUGUUCGGGUUGUCAUGCCAAUGGCACUGCCCGGUAGCUAAAUGCGGAAGAGAUAAGUGCUGAAAGCAUCUAAGCACGAAACUUGCCCCGAGAUGAGUUCUCCCUGACUCCUUGAGAGUCCUGAAGGAACGUUGAAGACGACGACGUUGAUAGGCCGGGUGUGUAAGCGCAGCGAUGCGUUGAGCUAACCGGUACUAAUGAACCGUGAGG
rnacentral:rRNA from 1 species